AAGUCGUAACAAGGUUUCCGUAGGUGAACCUGCGGAAGGAUCAUUAACACUUUUAAACAAUCUAUAAUAAUAAUUAUAUACACAAGUGACACUUUUUUAUCCCUCUCCUCUGUUAGAGAUAGCAGGUUGAGGCUAACCACACUUUAUUUAUUUUUCACCCCAUUCAGCGUAUACUUUAAUUUGUAUAUGUUUGAACUCAACACUUUUUGUUAUGGGUAACACCUAACAAACUAAUUGAAAUAUUUUUUCUACUGUGUGGUCACACACAGUGUUGAAUAUUUAUCAUUAUCAAAUAUCUUUAGUAAGAAAAAACAACUCUUAGCAAUGGAUAUCUUGGUUCUC
rnacentral:misc_RNA from 1 species